UGGGUCUCCGGGCUGAGAUGGUCCAAUUCCCCUGUCCACUCUUCAGAGAGUGAAAAACAAAAAGGGAAGAGAGAGAGGUGUGGGUAGACUUCUGCACGUUGGGUUUUACCGUCCUACCAUCAGCAGGAACACUAUAUUUGGAUUUCUCAUCACCAUCUCUCUGCUCCAUUUCUUCAAUCAGUGAAGUUUGGUUGAUUUCAUGGACUCUUGUUUAAGUAGCUGCUUUGGAAAUAGCUGAUCCAAGAGCCACUCAUCUCUUAUCAACUGAAAAUUGAACCCAUUAUUGGAGAAAGCUGAGUGUUGGCUUUGGGUGGGUUCUUGCCCCUUUUUUGGUCUUUAAUCUGAAAUGCUUAUUAGAGCUCCUUAUCUAAGCAAAAUUUGGUUUUAGGAACUAAAUUUGUUGAUAUCAUUGUUGAUAAAAUAGAGUUAUUUAUCUAUUUGGGUGGUUAAUUUCUCAAUUCAAGUAGUAUUUGGUUUGCAUACUACUAUUCCUUAUUUAAUUUUUUGUUGUUUUAUAUUUAGCAUGAGAAGAAUUGAGUUUCAAAAUAGGCUUAUAUAUGAUUAAUCAAAAUGCAUGACUAUUAUUGCUGUUGUUGUUGUGGUGAUGGUGGUGGAGGAGGAUAUAUUUAAUGGGUUUUUCUAUGGUAUAAAAAAAAACUACUACCUAAUCAAAAGUAGACACAUGGUUUUCUUUCUACUUUGUAAUGAUCUCAUUUCUUCACACACGUCAUAUUUCUUCAUCUUAAAUUACAUUUCUUAUAUUUGUUUGGCCAUAGGUUUCAUUUCUUUAUAUCUUUGUUAACAAUCUAGAUUUAGCCAUCAUCAGGGACUCAAAUUUCAAGUUCAAUAUGAUACCCUAUUGAUACUCUAGAAAUUUCAAAACCUAGUAUAUGAUUAGGAAGAAAUGCGAGUCUCAUUAUGUACAUGAGAAAGUGUGUUAAAAUUUUGAUUUAUUUCAAGUUCCAUGAGAUCCCUUAUCGGUAGGGGUUAUUUUGUAGAUUUUGAUGUUGAUGUUUUCUUGGUUCCUUUGUUGAAUAGAAAAUGCUUUAGGGAUGUCUUUGAAUAUUUUUAUGUCUCUGAAAUAGAGGUGGGAAACAUGCAGUAGAUCAAGGAAAUAUGAGACUAUUUCAAAACUCAUGUUUCCCAAGCAAAAGUUUUUUUUUUUUUUUGUGCUCUCUCUUUCUCUCUAUUUUUUUGUUAUUCCUUAUAAUAGUGGAUUGAUUUAUCUCAUAUAAGAAUGUAGGCAUUACUUAUUUAUUUAUUUUUUGAUAAGCAAGCAAAAAACAUGUUAGUAGCACCCAUCAAAAAGAGCACACUGGAAUACAUAGGCAAUUUCAUAAAUAUGGGACAACCAGAGACAAAAGUACAUAAAGGAAACCAAUAUACAAAAAGUAAUAACCCUUGCCUUAGAUAACACCUAAUCAAUCAAUUAAGUCUAUGGUAGACAUACAUGCAUCCUUUAAGCCCAUCCUUACCCACUCCAAAAACAAUCAUAAAAAGGAGUUUUGUUAUUUGACCCAUUUAUUCCAUAUCCUUGAAACACUUAUUAUUAUUAUUUUUAAACAGUCCAAAAAUACCUAAGGGAAUGACCUCCUAAGCUUUCUUUCUUUUCUUCCUCACAAAGGAUCCCUGCUAACUUUUAGAAGACCAUUUUAAUUGAAGUUGACAUCACCUAAUCUAAUAGGAUCAAGGAGAAAACUAGUUGCCACACAAUUUUUGUUUUUAUAUAAUGAAGCAAAAUGUGGUUUGUCAAUUCUUUUUCAUCUUUGUAGGAAAAAAAAAAAACAUCCAUUCACCAUGGUCCAACUUUUCUUGUUUCAUCUGAUCUAUGAUGACGAUCCUAGCAUAGAGAAUCUCACUUUUGUUGAAGCCCACAAAUUCAAAAUAGCAUUUUUUGGAAUGGAAUCUUAUCUCCCCGACAUAAAAAAUGAGUACAAAGAUUUUACUGAGGGAACUAAGAACAUUUCCCUCCACAUUUCUAACCAAUUUAUCCUAUCCUCACCAUUCUUGCUUAUAGCUUCAUUUGCAACCUUGAAAGAAAAUUGUCCAUUCUUUGAAGCUUCCAGUUAUGCAGCUAUCUUACAAACUAGGGGCUCCAACAUCCCCUCUCCCCUAAUUGCUCUCACAUAUGCAUUACCUAUGAGUCCUUUGAAGUGGCUAUAGUAAAAAGAGAGGAAAAAGAAUCACUUAGAGUUGAUUCACCAUACCAUAUAUGCUUUCAAAACUUUAUCCUAUUUUAGCCUCCCACUUUGAAACUAGUUCUUCUUUUAAUGAUAUCCCAUCCUUUCUUGAUUGCCUUCCAUAAGCCUACUUCAUAACCUUCCUUGCUCUUCUACCCUAAAUUUCUUUACUAUUACCCUUUUCCACAAAGCUGCCCUUUCUAUUGUGAACUUCGAACUCCAUUUGCCGAGUAGGACCUUAUUGAACAUAGACUCCUUAUACCAAGACCCUCACUUUUCUUCUCCAUGUAGAUAAUUGACCUAUUUACUAGAUGAGGUUUACUCUCUAAUGAUCCCCCUCAUUGAAAAUCUUUUUGAAUCUUCAUGAGCUUCGAGUUCACUCUUCUUGGAAUUAAUGAACAAGGAUAUUUUAUAAAUUUGUAGACUUGACAAAGCACACUCAAUUGUAGUGAGUCUCCUCCCUUUAGAAAGAUAUUGUCUCUUCCCAAUCACAAGUUGUCUUAGGAGUCUCUCUUCCACCACAUCCCACAUCAAAGUUGAUUUAUAAGAAACACUUAAGGGGAGUCCAAAAUAUGUGGCGGGAACAUUACUCCCUCUAGGCCAACACCAAACUAGUUAUUCCCCAUUCCUUACCCCUCCUAUUAGCAUGUUUUUUUUUUUCUAAAUUAGUUUUUCUCCCUCCCACCUUGAAACCUAAGAUGAAAUCCCUUUAACCAAAAACCUCCAUGACCAAGAUGAACAAAUUAGGGGAAAAAGGAUCUCUCUACCAACACAUUUAACUUCAAAAGAAGCCAAAGAGAAUCCAAUUUACAAGGACUAAGAAUCUAUUAAGACAAUUAUUUGGAAAGAAUUAUAACUAGUUGGAUAUGAUUCUAGCAUUUAUCAUAAUGACACAAGAAAUUAGCCUGGAAGUCACUAAUUUAGAUUACAUAUAUAACAAAAUUUACUAUCUUUUUUUUGGGUUUCUACUUUUUGAGCAUACAAAUGUUUUUGCUUUAACAACUCAUUUAUGGAGUUCACCAAGUUGAGUCUUUUACCACUUGUAAGAAUCCUCAUUGUUCAUUUAAAUUUUUUUCCUUUUUAAUUAUUGUUAAUAUUCUAAUCAUACGUUGUUGGUGAUAGAGGAAUGAUUGAUGUAGUAUCAACUACAGUAGGCGCAACAACAGUUGAGGUUUACAAAAAUGGAAGAAGCUUAUUAACUUCUGCCAAUUCAAAAAAUGCCUAUGUAAAAGAUUUGAAAAAAAACUAUAAAAAGUUAAUACAAGAAGCAAGAAAGCUCUGGGAACUAAGGGAUGCUAUAGAGAAUGAAAUAAGUAGACAUAAGAUAAGCCCAGUCACAAGAGAAUGGAUUGUUAAGGUUGAGAUGAUCAAAAGUGAAGUGGGAGAACUAGAAACUAAAUACAAUGAUGAAAGGAAGCAUCUGUGGAGGUUGGUUUGCAUUAGGACACAUUUAAAUCUUAGCAAAGACAUGGCAGAGAAGUGUAAGCAUAACAUGGGUGCUUUGUGAAAAGCCUCAAUACAACGUUUCUAGUGUUGGUUCCAAAGAGAGGAUGAGCUAAAGAAUUGAAAGAUUUUAGGCUGAUAAGUUUGGUGGGCAACCUAUAUAAGUUUUGGCUAAGGUGUUAGCUAAUAGGCUGAAGAAAAUGAUGGAAAAAGUGGUCUCAAAAUAUCAGAAUGCGUUUGUGGAAGGGAAAAAAAUUCUUAAUGCGGUACUUAUAGCUAAUGAGGUAAUUGACUCGAUGUUAAGAAGUAAUAGAGUAGGGGUGCUUUGUAAACUUGAUAUUGAAAAAGCUUAUGAUCAUGUAAGCUGGAAUUUUUGCUUGAGAUGUUAGGAGAAAUAGGUUUUGGACAAAGGAGGAUCAAUUGGAUUAGUUAAUGCAUCUCAACUCCAAGGUUCUUAGUGUUAGUGAACGGUACUCCCUUAAGGUUUUUUCAGAGCUCUAGGGGCUUAAGGCAAGGGGAUCUGGUAUCCCCAUACUUGUUUGUUCUAGCUAUAGAGAUGCUCAGUUGUCUUCUUGGAAGGGCAAGAGAGGGUGGCUUCUUGUCUGACUUCAAAGUGUUAGGGAGAAAUGGGGAGGGCUUGGAGAUUUCCUAUUUGUUGUUCAGAGAGGAUACUUUAGUUUUUUGUGAGGCCACGUCUUCCCAAGUGACUUAUUUGAGUUGGUUACUCAUGUGGUUUAAGACUAUUUCAGGUUUGAAAAUCAAUUUAGAUAAAAGUGAGCUUAUUCCGAUUGGGAGGGUGUCGAAUGUAAUGGAGUUGACUUCUAUAUUUGGUUGUAAAGUGGGUGUGCUCCCAACCACUUAUUUUGGGCUCCCUCUAGGAGCUGCCCAUAACUCGGUAGUGGUUUGGGAUGGGGUUGAAGAAAGGUUCAGAAAGAGAUUAGCAAUAUGGAAAAAGCAAUAUAUUUCUAAAGGGAGAAGACUAACACUAAUCAAGAGCACACUAGCUAGCCUUCCAAUCUAUUUUAUGUCUCUUUUUUGGAUGCCGAGGAGGGUUCGCUUAAGGUUGGAGAAGAUUCAAAGGGACUUUUGGUGGGGAGGUGGGGCUCUAGAGAAAAAGCCUCAUUUAGUGAAAUGGGAUAUUGUUUGUUUAAACAAAAGAAAAUGAGGCCUUGGAGUUAGACGUCUUAACUCUCUUAAUAAGGCUCUCUGCAAAUGGAUUUGGCGCUUUGCUAAGGAAAGGGAUGCCUUUUGGAGAGAAGUUAUUUGUGGUAAAUUUGGGGAAUUGGAAGGAAGUUGGUGCUCUAAGGAAGUGAGGGGCAGCUAUGGUGUUGGUCUAUGGAAGGCUAUAAGGCUUUAUGGGAGUUAGUCUCUUCCAUAACUCUCUUUGUAAUGGGCAAUGGAAGAAGGGUCAAGUUUUGGAGAGACAGAUGGUACGGGGAUGAACCUUUAUAUGUGUCGUUUCCCUCCUUGUUCACUUUAACUAGUUCAAAAAAGGCUUGGGUGGUGGAUUUGUGGGUGCACUCUUCUGAAGGGGGUGGAUGGAACCCAAGCUUCUCUAGACUUCUCAAUGAUUGGGAGAUUGAGACGGUGGAAUGCUUCUUGUCAAGGAUUCAAGACAAUGUGGUGGUUGAGGAGAGGGAGGAUGAGGUGUUUUGAGCGGUUACAAAGAGUGGAUCCUUUUCUGUUAAGUCCCUUAUUUCUAUCCUUGAGGAAGUAAGGGUAAGCCCUUUCCCUACUAGUAUUGUGUGGAAUGAUUGGGUCCCUCCUAAGGUUAGUUUUUUUUGCUUGGGAGGCAACAUGGGGGAAAGUUUUGACUUUAGACCAAUUGCAAAGGAGAGGAUGGUCUUUAGCCAAUAAAUGCUCCCUUUGUUAUGCUCAUGAGGAGUCAAUUGACCAUAUGCUCUUGCAUUGUGGGAAAGCAAGGCUGUGGGAGGUCUUGUUCUCUUUGUUCAGGGUGUGUUGGGUGAUUCAAGCUUCCGUUAGAGAGACCCUUUUAGGGUGGCAAGGCUCGUUCAUUGGAAGAAAGAGAAAGAAAGUGUGGAGUGCAACGCCUUUAUGCCUCUUUUAGACAAUUUGGAAGGAGAGAAAUAGAAGAUCUUUUGAGAAUAUGGAGCUUUAUGUUCAAAGGCUGAAGUUCUUGUUUUUGUGCAGUUUAUUAUCUUGGACAAACAUGUUUAUAGAACAUACUUCUAUGUCCUUUGUUGAUUUUAUUGAUUGGUUGGGGACAGAUUGAGGAAGGGAGUAUUUUUGUUUUUCCUUUCCUUUUUAGCGCUUUUAGGCAGCCGUUGUAUACACCGUGUGUACUUUGGUGCACCCCUUUUGACGUUCUUAUACAAAUUGCUCUUAUAAUAAUAAAAAAAAAUAAAAAAAUAAAAAGGUCUAUUGGAAGAGGGGAAUCUUAAAGGAGGAGUCCUGAUCGCGGAAUUUCCAGAACCUAUUAGGAAAAAUACAUGUGCUGAAACUAGAACGCAACUCAUCUCUACACUAAGUUGUAGAAGAUGUAGUGAGUUUUCUAGACGAUAAGCAAAUAAGAAUAAUAGGAAUCUGGGGAACAGUGGGAACAGGAAAAACCACCAUAAUGCAAAACUUGAACAAUCACAAAGAUGUUGCUACAAUGUUUGAUAUUGUCAUCUGGGUAACUGUCUCAAAGGAGUGGAGCUUAAAAGAGUUGCAAGGUGCAAUCAUGCAGCAACUAAAAUUGAAUAUGGAGAGCACUAUUGGCAUUGAGGAAUAUGCUUGGAGAAUUUCUGAAGAGUUGAAGGGAAAGAAGUGUUUGACUCUUAUGGAUGAAGUCUGUGACUUUAUAGAUCUACAUAAAGUAAUGGGUAUGACCACCAAGAAAGCAAGGUAGUGUUGGCGAGUAGGCUUCGUGAUAUCUGCAAGGACAUGGAUGCUGAUGAGCUAAUCAAUGUGAAACCAUUGUCAGAUUAUGAAGCUUUCAACAUGUUCAAGCAAAAAGUGGGCCAGUUCAUUCAUUGCCCAGGGAUUAAACCAGUAGCUGAGUUGGUGGUUAGAGUGUGGGGGAUUGCCGCUGCUGAUAGACAGAGUAGCAAGGACCUUUAGAAAGAAGGAGAAAAAUGUUUCCCUUUGGAGGGAUGGAUUGAAUAAUUUGCAAAGAUGGGAGAAUACCCAGGGCAUGGAUGAAGUGCUUGAAUUUUUGAGGUUUUGUUAUGAUAACUUAGAUAGUGACACAAAGAAAGUUUGGUUUUUUGUAUGGUGCGUUAUAUCCUGAAGAGUAUGAGAUUUAUAUAGAUUACUUGUUGGAAUGUUGGAGAGCUGAAGGUUUUAUUCUAGAUGCAGAUGAGUUUGUUCAUGAUAAAAAUGUGUUUAGAGAUGCACGUGACAAAGGGCAUGCGAUGUUGGAUGAUCUUAUCAACGUAUCAUUGUUAGAGAGUAGUGAGAAGAGGAAAUGCGUUAAGAUGAACAAAGUUCUUCGUGACAUGGCCCUUAAAAUAUCAUCACUAAUUGGAGAUUCCAAAUUUCUGGCAAAGCCAUGUGAGGGAUUAUAAGAGCCUCCAAAUCAUGAAGAAUGGAAACAGGCAAGGCGCAUCUCUUUGAUGGACAAUGAAUUGUGCUGCUUACCAGAAACUCUAGAUUGUUGUGAUCUGAUCUUUUAACAUUGUUGCUUCAAAUGAAUAAGAACUUGAGUACUAUUCCUGAGUUCUUUAAAUCUAUGAGCAGUUUUCAAGUUUUAGAUUUGCAUGGUACUGGUAUUGAAUCAUUGCCUUCAUCUUUAUCCAACUUGAUUUGUCUAUGAGGGCUCUAUCUGAAUUCUUGCAUCCAUUUGGUAGAACUCCCAACAGAGAUAGACGCACUUGUGCAGCUUGAGGUGCUUGAUAUUCGGGGGACUAAUAUCAGUUUACUUCAGAUUAGAAGUUUAGUAUGGUUGAAGUGCUUACGAAUAUCAUUAUCUAAUUUUGGCAUGGGAGGCCAUACUCAAAACCAAUUUGGAAAUGUUUCGAGGUUUGUUUCAUUGGAAGAGUUCAGUGUUGUCUUUGAUUCAUCUAAGAAAUGGUGAGACAAGAUUGUAGAGGCUACCUACCUCAACGGAGGUGGCUACCUUGAAAAGAUUGACUUCUCUUCAAUAUUGCUUCCCUAAAGUUGACUGGCUUGAGGUUUUUGUUACGACAAGCCCGGUGUGGAAGAAGGGUUCAUGUUUGACAUUUCAAUUUGCUGUUGGUGACCAUGACUCAACCUGCUUUCAAAUUCUUGAGUCCUUCGAUUAUCCAAGCUACAAUUUCCUGACAUUGGUGAAUAGUGAAGGAGUGAAUCUGGUAACCUCAAAAGUGCUGAUGGAAACUCAUGCAUUUGGAUUAAUUAACCACAAGGGAGUUUCAAGACUAUCAGAUUUUGGCAUUGAGAACAUGGAUAAUAUGUUGGGUUGUUUGAUUGAGAGAUGCAAUGAAAUUGAAACCAUCAUCAAUGGUAAUGGAAUAACAAAGGGCGUGCUAGAAUGGUUGGAAGAUUUAAGCAUAAACAAUGUCUUAAAAUUGGAAAGCAUUUGGCAGGGGCCUAUUCAUGCUAGGAGUUUGACUCAAUUAACGACCCUGACUUUAGUUAACUGUCCAGAAUUGAAGAAAAUAUUCUCUAAUGACAUGAUUCAGCAGCUUUCUAAACUACAACACUUGAGAGUUGAAGAAUGCGAUCAAAUUGAGGAGAUAAUUAUGGGAUCUAAGAACAUUGUACUAGAAUUCUAUUCACUUCCAAGGCUGAAGACACUAGUGCUCCUUGAUCUCCCAAAACUCAGAAGCAUUUGGGUUGAUGAAUCAUUGGAGUGGCCAUCUUUGCAGAGUAUUAAAAUUUCUAUGUGCGACAUGUUGAAGAGAUUGCCUUUCAACAUUGCCAAUGCAACCAAAUUGAGGCUCAUUGAAGGGCAACAGUCAUGGUAGGGAGCAUUGGUAUGGGAAGAUGAUGCCAUUAAACGACUGCAACCUCUUUGCAUUCUCAACUAGCUCGUGAUAUUCCAUUUUUUGUGCAGCUUCUCAUGUUGACUGGGGUGGUUGCUGCCUCAACCACUGGUUUGUUGUGUGUUGGACUCAAAAACUUUGGCAUGUACUUGUUUAAGACAUGCUAGUCUAUAUUGUAUUUCUAUAAGCUUUUCUAAUAUGGAUUGUACCUUUUUUUGGAAAAUAUUAUCUGCUUUGGAUUCGCUUUGCUUAUGGCUUACGACUUUGGAUUGUAAUGGUGUAAAAGGUGAUUGCAAUAUGGAUGCUGUAUUUUCAUGUAUUCUUGGAA